rnacentral:rRNA from 1 species
UUUGAUGGCGACCGGCGCACGGGUGAGUAACACGUAUCCAACCUGCCGAUGACUCGGGGAUAGCCUUUCGAAAGAAAGAUUAAUACCCGAUGGCAUAGUUCUUCCGCAUGGUGGAACUAUUAAAGAAUUUCGGUUGUCGAUGGGGAUGCGUUCCAUUAGGCAGUUGGCGGGGUAACGGCCCACCAAACCAACGAUGGAUAGGGGUUCUGAGAGGAAGGUCCCCCACAUUGGAACUGAGACACGGUCCAA